rnacentral:rRNA from 1 species
AUUGAACGCUGGCGGCGUGCCUAACACAUGCAAGUCGAACGCGAAAGUUCCUUCGGGGAUGAGUAAAGUGGCGCACGGGUGAGUAACGCGUGGAUAAUCUACCGGGAAGUAUGGAAUAACGGCUGGAAACGGUCGCUAAUACCGUAUACGCAAAUAAAUUAUCUUUUUAUUUGGAAAGGAGGCCUCUGCAUAUGCUUCCGCUUUUCGAUGAGUGCGCGUCCCAUUAGCUAGUUGGCGGGGUAAAAGCCCACCAAGGCGACGAUGGGUAACUGGUCUGAGAGGAUGAUCAGUCACACUGGGACUGGAACACGGCCCAGACUCCUACGGGAGGCAGCAGUGGGGAAUAUUGCGCAAUGGGCGAAAGCCUGACGCAGCGACGCCGCGUGAGGGAUGAAGGCCUUCGGGUCGUAAACCUCUGUCGGAAGGGAAGAACCGCAACUGUGCUAAUCAGCAGUUGUCUGACGGUACCUUCAAAGGAAGCACCGGCUAACUCCGUGCCAGCAGCCGCAGUAAUAC